rnacentral:tRNA from 1 species
GGUGUGGCUCAGCUUGGCUAGAGCGCCUGGUUUGGGACCAGGAGGUCGCAGGUUCGAAUCCUGUCAC